ACAGUAUUCGCUCACUACAUGUGUGUUGGAAUAUGUCCCGCCAUUUUUCACUUCAAUCUCUCCUUAAAACUCUAUUGUAUACGCUGGAAUACGUAAUUUCCGUUCUGUAACCUCACUUUUUUUUCUCUGUGCAGUGCGCGUGGGAUCGCUCGUUUAAGCUCGGUAAUUUUUUACGUUUUGUACUUCAAAGAGAGGGAGAGAAAAAGAAAAGCUGACGGUCGCUAUUCCUAUUACAAUUCUUCUUACAAGAAAGUAAAGAAGUCCGAGAUUCAGUGUUUUUUUGAAAGCAAACCUGGUGGUUGCAAAAAUCCUUAUUGCGCUUACUUUCACCAAAAACUAGGCUGGGAACUAAAGUUAAGUCACCUGAGGAAAAGUUGUCAGAUCCUAAAGAAGAAACUAAGGCUACAACUCUUAAUGGGAUGAAUUAUUCCCUUCACAUGAAGACUGAUUUACCUGAUAGCUGUAGCAAAACAGAUCUUGGUGAAAAAGUUGAGAACAUCAAUCCUGAAGCAGAGAAGCUCCCUCGUUUACAGGAGAUUUUAAAAAGGGAUGAUAUAUUUUCCACACCUGGGCGACAAACUCCGUAUAAAUACAUACGUCUUUCGUAGCUGCGUGAGAGCGUUCUCAUCAUCUC